rnacentral:misc_RNA from 1 species
UUUGGGAAGUCCUCUGUGUUGCNCCCUAGUUUUGCAAUUUUGACAAUUCUCAAACUUUUUNUACGGCCCCGUUGCCGAGUUUUGGCGGUUGAAUGCCCCGAUGUCCGGCCUGGCAUAAACUCCCACAGAGACUUGAAGAGUNUUUCGGCAGCAGAUGGNGCAAGUUUCGACUCGUGCAAGGGAACAGGCUGUCCGAAUGGAAACGUUGGCGACGGAACCGAUAGGAGGAGCCGAUGAUCAAGCAAAANGUUUAAAGAGUUUUCGCAGUCAUCAAGGCACACGCNCGCUCGUGUUCAGCCAUGCUUUGCAUACUGAGUUAUCCGCUCAUGCUUACGACAUAUCAUGGGAAGGUGGUUUUUGUUGACGAUUCCGUGAAUUUCCGAGUNCGAAAACACAAAUAACUUUNGGAAAAGCAGAUU